rnacentral:rRNA from 1 species
UACGGAGGGAGCUAGCGUUAUUCGGAUUUACUGGGCGUAAAGGGCGCGUAGGCGGAUUUUUAAGUCAGGGGUGAAAUCCCAAGGCUCAACCUUGGAACUGCCUUUGAUACUGGGAAUCUUGAGUCCGGGAGAGGUGAGUGGAACUGCGAGUGUAGAGGUGAAAUUCGUAGAUAUUCGCAAGAACACCAGUGGCGAAGGCGGCUCACUGGCCCGAUACUGACGCUGAGGCACGAAAGCGUGGGGAG